rnacentral:rRNA from 1 species
AGUGAACGCUGGCGGUAGGCCUAACACAUGCAAGUCGAACGGCAGCACAGUAAGAGCUUGCUCUUACGGGUGGCGAGUGGCGGACGGGUGAGGAAUACAUCGGAAUCUACUUUUUCGUGGGGGAUAACGUAGGGAAACUUACGCUAAUACCGCAUACGACCUACGGGUGAAAGCAGGGGAUCUUCGGACCUUGCGCGAUUGAAUGAGCCGAUGUCGGAUUAGCUAGUUGGCGGGGUAAAGGCCCACCAAGGCGACGAUCCGUAGCUGGUCUGAGAGGAUGAUCAGCCACACUGGAACUGAGACACGGUCCAGACUCCUACGGGAGGCAGCAGUGGGGAAUAUUGGACAAUGGGCGCAAGCCUGAUCCAGCCAUACCGCGUGGGUGAAGAAGGCCUUCGGGUUGUAAAGCCCUCUUGUUGGGAAAGAAAAGCAGCAGGUUAAUACCCCGCUGUGCUGACGGUACCCAAAGAAUAAGCACCGGCUAACUUCGUG